CGUGGACUGUGGGACAGGAUGGGCACGCACUAACAGUGACAGACUGGGGACCCAGCAAGGCCUGUCCAGGUUCUGUUCUGCCCCUCAUGUCACAUUCCUUCCUCCAGACCAAACAAGGAGAAAAUUUGAGAGACUCAAAUUGUAGGACAUUUGGCACUGAUUUGCAGCAGUUCUCGUUGGACACAUCAGACUCUUCUAGGUCUAAAGUCCUUUUGUAUGUGUCUGCCACUCUCUAAGUGGUCUUUGUUAGCUCUGUGGUCUUCCUGGCCCCCUGACCAGCCGCUGGCAGAGGAGGGAAGGGAUCCACAAUCAACAGCCCAGCUUCGGAGGCAGCCACAUUCCCAGGGCCCACCUCCACCACGCCACUUUCCAGAGCAGGAAGCCAGAAUCAGCGCUCAGCCACAGGCCUUCCUGUGACAGUCACCAUCCUGCCUCAUACAGAAACUGGCAAAGAGACUGAAG